ACGGAAACAGGGGAUUAUCAGGUCAAGCUACGCAACCUGAUACGUUUCCUUAAACAUGGUGACAAGGUCAAAAUCACGGUACGUUUUCGUGGCCGUGAGGUGGCACAUCAGGACAUUGGCAUGAAAAUUAUGGAGCGUCUGCAGGAAGAUACAGCAGAAUUUGCUGUAGUUGAACAGCAGGCAAAACGUGAAGGACGUCAAUUACUGAUGGUUUUGGCACCUAAAAAAACCAAGUAGCAGACAUUUCUGAUAAUGCAGAAUGUCGGAAGUAAUAUAAUAAAUGCGGAGUAUAUUUAUAUGCCAAAGUUAA
rnacentral:misc_RNA from 1 species